GUCCUCGUAGCGAAGUGGUUACGCGCCCGGUCAACCCCAGCGUUUGAAUAUCCUUAUCUAGCGUAGACCGGGAGACGUCAGUUCGAACCUGACCGAGGACA